rnacentral:rRNA from 1 species
GAUGAACGCUGGCGGCGUGCCUAACACAUGCAAGUCGAACGAAGCACCUCAUCUGUUUCUGCGGACGCAAGUGUGGAGCCUGAGUGGCGGACGGGUGAGUAACGCGCUGCUAACCUGCACUGUACUGGGGGACAACAGCUGGAAACGGCUGCUAAUACGGCAUAAGCGCACUUGUAGAAAUCUCCUUGUGUGAGAAACUCCGGUGGUACAGGUUGGGUUCUCGUCUGGUUAGUUGGUUGGCAGGGUGACGGCCUACCAAGGAAACGAGCAGUAGCCGGGCUGGGAGAAGGAAAGACCACGAUGGAGCUAAGGCACAGUCCAAAAUCCGACGGGAGGGUGGAGAGGGGAAUAUUGCACAAUGGAGGAAGCCGUGAUGCAGCAGCGCCGGGUAAGUGAAGAAGUAGUUCGGUAAGUAAAGCUCUAACAGCAGGGGAGAUAGUGACGGUACCUGAAGAAGAAGCUCCGGCUAACUACGUG